rnacentral:rRNA from 1 species
CCUACGGGAGGCAGCAGUAAGGAAUAUUGGUCAAUGGACGCAAGUCUGAACCAGCCAUGCCGCGUGGAGGAUUAAGGCCCUUGGGUUGUAAACUCCUUUUAUCUGGGAAGCGGUACCAGAGGAAUAAGCACCGGCUAACUCCGUGCCAGCAGCCGCGGUAAUACGGAGGGUGCAAGCGUUAUCCGGAUUCACUGGGUUUAAAGGGUGCGUAGGCGGGCAGGUAAGUCCGUGGUGAAAUCUCUGAGCUUAACUCAGAAACUGCCAUGGAUACUAUUUGUCUUGAAUAUUGUGGAGGUGAGCGGAAUAUGUCAUGUAGCGGUGAAAUGCUUAGAUAUGACAUAGAACACCAAUUGCGAAGGCAGCUCACUACACAAUAUUGACGCUGAGGCACGAAAGCGUGGGGAUCAAACAGGAUUAGAUACCCUUGUAGUC